UACAGAGGUCUCAAGCGUUGUUCGGAUUCAUUGGGCGUAAAGGGUGCGUAGGCGGCGCAGUAAGUCGGGUGUGAAAUCUUGGAGCUUAACUCCGAAACUGCAUUCGAUACUGCCGUGCUUGAGGACUGGAGAGGAGACUGGAAUUUACGGUGUAGCGGUGAAAUGCGUAGAUAUCGUAAGGAAGACCAGUGGCGAAGGCGGGUCUCUGGACAGUUCCUGACGCUGAAGCACGAAGGCCAGGGGAGCAAACGGG
rnacentral:rRNA from 1 species